UACGAAGGGGGCUAGCGUUGCUCGGAAUCACUGGGCGUAAAGGGUGCGUAGGCGGGUCUUUAAGUCAGGGGUGAAAUCCUGGAGCUCAACUCCAGAACUGCCUUUGAUACUGAGGAUCUUGAGUUCGGGAGAGGUGAGUGGAACUGCGAGUGUAGAGGUGAAAUUCGUAGAUAUUCGCAAAAACACCAGUGGCGAAGGCGGCUCACUGGCCCGAUACUGACGCUGAGGCACGAAAGCGUGGGGAGCAAACAGG
rnacentral:rRNA from 1 species